rnacentral:lncRNA from 1 species
GAAAUAUGGGUAUGUGUGGCUAUUCUUCUUGAAUUUAGGUGAUUACGCCAAAAUUUGAAAGAUAGGCGUUUGAAACAAUGAAUUCACCUCUACGGACUUUAGUAAACUCGAUUCUCAAAAGUUCAAAGGUCUCCACUUUUUCUUUUGAGGCAAGGGGUCGAGUUUUCAAAAAUAAUUCACCAACUAGUCCUUAUUUCUCCCUUCUAGUCU